UGGCAUGUGGAGCAAUAUAAAUGUGAAUAAGAAAACUGGAGAAUUCAGUUUUACUAAGAUCCAAAUCGACCAGACUGGAACUUAUGAAGUGGAGAUCAACACCCGCAAUUUGAUCUUACACAGGAAAUUCAGUAUUACUGUUGCAGAAAACAAUCAAACGUUUCGGCAGUAAGCCUUCUUCAGUGAAUCAUACAGUGACAUUUCCUACAAGAGAUCUUAAAGAGAUGAAGUCCAAAGAUCACCCGGUGAAAAGUCACAUAACAGGUGUAACCGAUCACAAACUUAACUGACCAAUAAAUCAAGCAAUUUCAGGACAAACAGCUAAUUUCAGGACAAACAGAUAAUUCCAAAACAUUCAACACAUAAAAAUAACAU